GUCUUCUUGAGCUGACCCAGUUCUCUAAAACAAGGUCAAGCCCAAAGUCAAAGCCUAGUGCAAGUGCCAAGUGCGGCUCAAAGUGAUCAUUGAAUUUGAGUGGACGCGCCAGUUAUAUAUCGCCAAUACUGGGGCAGCCGUUCGACCAUUUGGAAACGAGCGUCCCCAGUGUAGCAACAUUUUUCGAAACAGUGGUGCAAUUCUGUUGAGGAUUAGCACCACUAGUAUCUACGUAUUGAAACGCUGGUCUAGAAGUUACGGAUUGGUUAUUCCCGGAGACCUCUUGGCCACGUGCCCGUACCACCGUUCGGUAGCCGAGGGCAUGGACUUGCUCCUCAAGUAAACCCGAUCGGUGUGCUCUGCAAUCUUCUCCUGGACAAGUUCGACCCAUGGGGAUGAGCUGAGUGACUCUUCAAAAAAACCAGUCACCCCACGAGCAAUCCAGUGUGCGAGUGUACCUAACCUCACGCCGCAGAUGGGCCGCGGUCAUUGACCCCUGGCAUCGGAAGCAGCUGAUGUUACCUGCGCCCGGUACCAUCGUGUGCCACCUUCAGACCUCGAGUAGGAACUCGGUCUCCAGCCGGGAAGCAUCGAACCCGCAUCGGAUUUAGUUAUAUUUUCUAUCUUUCUUUCGAAAUUAGACCCGAUAUGCGAAUCCCUGUUUUUUUAUCCGCUUUCUGUUUAACAAUGUUCUUUUGAUACGGCAAAAAUGUGCAAAAGCCAAUUAAAUACGGUAUAAACAAAAAGGGAAUUCCUGUCCAUGGGCUAAGUCGAA